AGAGAGGGAGUGCUGAUUAGAUUGGAGAAAGCCAAGGGGGUACGGGCAUACUAUUGAGCAAGGGGGAGAGACAGAGAGGAGAGAGGCAGAAGGGAGGGUGACUAAGUGAAUGCAGUUUGCCGUCGCGUGUCACGGAAUCACAGCGAAGUCCACGGGCAGGCGGGCGGAUUGGACCUGAAUCAACAAAUGGAUACAGGAAAACUGGAUGUACACUGCAUAUGAGGAGACAAUCAGGGAGGACGAAGAGUCUGCCUUCACAUCCUUUCAUCUUUGCAUCAGAUACUGCUGUGAGGAACCCUCGGGGAGGGAAGGGAAAAAUAGCGGACAACUCAUUUCUCUCCAACACCCUCGGAAGCCGCGGAGCUGUGAACCAGAAUAGAGUCGACUUUGGGACUCGCUGGGAUUGAAUAUAUGCUCACGCUGGUGUGUGCGAGUGUGAGCUGAUAUUAGCCCCAUUGGUAUUCAGCGGAGGGAGCUCCAGGAUCUCGCUGCGCCUUUUCCCCAGGAUGGGAUCACAGAGCGGGGAUUGUGCUCGCCUGUUGAGAGCCCGCUGAAAUGAAUCGGAAGCCCUGCAGAGAUGGACACCAAAUGGGCAUCAUGGAAGCCAACAUACACCCUCCGGCGACAAGCUUUCCACACCUAACCGCCUCCACCAUCUCCAGCCAUCAGCUCGAACCUUCCCAGCGAGGACUGAACCUGCAGGGUUGAGGCCGGUCAAGCUAGACUGAGAUACCAGAAGCUGUCUACAGGAAGCGGAGGAAGGCAGAGGGCGACAGGCCUCGGAGGAGUUGACCUACAACAAACCGAUCAACCUGUUGAGCAUACGAUUGAGCUCCUUGGACUUCAUCUGAAAUGAAAUAGGCUGCAGUGAUGCUUGAGCAAAGGUAUGAAGCUUUCAGACAUGUCUGGAUUUAUCGCCCGGAUAUCCUAUCAAGAUUACGACAUUUUCGUUCACACCUCAGAGCUGGGCCACUUUUACAGAUUGGCUUGUGGGCAAAAGCGAGUAAUUGAAAAUCCCCCCUCGAGAGGGUCUCUAUUCUGAUUUGUUGUGGGGGAGGAGGGAUUUCUUUCUCUUUUUUUUAAAGCAACAAUCUAAAAAGAAACCCUCCCUUUUAUCCCACACUUUCCGAUUUUUUUUUUUUUUCUUUUUCACCAUCUUUCUCACACAUUGCGGAGAAAUAAAUUAUGAAGCAGCGCCAUUCUUCUUCAUCCUUCCUCGUUGACGGCGAGAGAGGAGGGACAGACUGUCCAGAAUAGAUAACGAGCAAGGAGACUGGCACCGAGGAGAGGGGACGGUGGAAAAGAGGCAGAAAAUAGAAGGAAACAGGUAGAAGGAGACAGAAGAAGAGGUGGCAAGAAAAGAAAAAUAGAGAAUUAACUAGGAUUGUUACAAAUCCUCUUGGAGACUCAAAGCCUCUUUCUAAUUCGCCCGUGCCUUGUUGGGGGCUAGUUAGCGCGAUGGGCAGGGUCAGGAUUUACACCAGGGGGGGCACUUGAGCAGGAGAGUCGGGUUAUGUCCCCCCUGCACCUUCCUGGUCUGUAUCUUAGUGUUUGGCAGGAAGACAGACUGAAAUAUGGCCUGGUGAACUGACAGCUAUACUGACAGACAAGCUCUGAGGCUGGUAAGACAGACGGACAGACAGGAAGACGGGUACACAGCCUAUUCCAAGUGUCAGGCAGAGAGCCAGACAGACACCCAGUGCUGGCACAGUAGACAGCUUGCAAUUCAUUGUCAUUCUAUGCAGUGUGUGAGGGAGAGACAGAGUGAAGGAAAGAAAGAAAGAAGGGGAACAUCCCUGUGUUUGUAGCUUCUGGAGAAUCUCACCUCCUCUGCAUCCACCUCAGUCAGUACUGUGGCAAGCCCAUGCACUAAAAAGAACAGGCCGGGAGUGAGGAGGCUGUUACUAGAAAGGAAAUGCGGGUUGGAUAGAUAGAGGGAGAGAGAGAGAGAGAGAGAGAGAGAGAGAGAGAGAGAGAG